GAAUUAAUAUGCCCCUGUUUAAGCUGCUAACUUAAAACCGAAACGGUUUAACUCCGUUUUUAAUUCA
rnacentral:tRNA from 1 species